rnacentral:lncRNA from 1 species
AUCAAGAGAAAAACAGUCUUAGAUGCAACAUAAAAAUUUCAGAGACAGAAGAAAUCUUCCUUUGAGGGCAGGUUUUUUGGGAAAGAUAUAUAGCUUUUGGCAGAAGAAAAUCAGUGACAAUGACUUAGAAGAAUCUUAAUCUCAUGAAAGAAAUAAAUGCUUGUCAGUCAAGAAGUUGUAACCUUUACCUUGUUUUGACCUUUACAUUUUCAAGUGAUACACUUAUGUGAGAUUUUGAAAAGUGAAAAAUCAAAGGUGGAAUUGACCAGUAGAUGUAAAAGUACAACAAAUAAACAAAAAUGGCAAUGUUGAAAGUGAAACUGAAAUUCAACAGAAAUAAAAGAAAUAGCAGACUGGGGGGAUAUUGACUUUGACACCAUGAUGCCAGAGGAACUUAGUGAUGGCAAACUUAUCAAUAUAAAAUGAGGAUAUUGGUUGUCAACUAGGUUGUGUGGUGGUCCUUGAUCUUGUCCAUCAAGUCCUUUUUCCCAAAGGAUAACUGAAGAAGAUCACAUACAUUCCAACUUAUUGAGUCUGAUAGGUAUUCAUCUGAUGAGCUCCUCUUCAACUGAGGAUUGAAAUGCUGUUUUUCUUCCCUGGUACAAUGUUAAAGCUUUAAACUCUUGUCAAUGAUGUGAUGUUUCAUCUGCAAUGAUCUACACUAGAAAAAUAAAAAUGUAGUUACUGACAAAAAAGCAGUACUCCAGGCAGAUUUAUAAAGGAAGCUGCUGGAAGGAAUUCAUUCCCUUUUUGCUGUUCUGCCUUCCACCUUCCACUGUGUGAGGACACUGCAAGAAAGCCCUCAUCAGACACCAACUGCCAGCACCUAGAUCUUGGAAUUCUCAGCCUCCAGAACUGUGAGAAACACGUUUCUGUUUUUCUAUAAAAUAAUAAUAAUAAAAAACUUCCAUGCAGGAAAAAAAAUCAAGUUCAAAGGUCCUGUGGUGAGGGCAUACCAGCUUUGUUUGAGAAGCAGUAAUCAUGCCUGUGUGACUGUAAUGAAAGAAUAAAAGAGAAAUGAGCACAGAAGAA